GCCGUUUUAGCUCAUGUUGGCAGAGCACCGGACUUUUAAUCCGGGGGUGGCGGGUUCGAACCCCGCAAGCGGCACCA
rnacentral:tRNA from 1 species